rnacentral:rRNA from 1 species
UACGUAGGGUGCAAGCGUUAAUCGGAAUUACUGGGCGUAAAGCGUGCGCAGGCGGUUAUGCAAGACAGAUGUGAAAUCCCCGGGCUCAACCUGGGAACUGCAUUUGUGACUGGCAAGCUAGAGUAUGGCAGAGGGGGGUAGAAUUCCACGUGUAGCAGUGAAAUGCGUAGAGAUGUGGAGGAAUACCGAUGGCGAAGGCAGCCCCCUGGGCCAAUACUGACGCUCAUGCACGAAAGCGUGGGGAGCAAACAGG